CCUACGGGAGGCUGCAGUGGGGAAUAUUGCACAAUGGGGGAAACCCUGAUGCAGCGACGCCGCGUGAGUGAAGAAGUAUUACGGUAUUUAAAGCUCUAUCAGCAGGGAAGAAAAUGACGAUACCUGACUAAGAAGCCCCGGCUAACUACGUGCCAGCAGCCGCGGUAAUACGUAGGGGGCAAGCGUUAUCCGGAUUUACUGGGUGUAAAGGGCGUGUAGGCGGGAAAGCAAGUCAGAUGUGAAAACCAUGGGCUCAACCUGUGGCCUGCAGUUGAAACUGUUUUUCUUGAGUACUGGAGAGGCAGACGGAAUUCGUAGUGUAGCGGUGAAAUGCGUAGAUAUUAGGAGGAACACCAGUGGCGAAGGCAGUCUGCUGGACAGCAACUGACGCUGAAGCGCGAAAGCGUGGGGAGCGAACAGGAUUAGAUACCCUGGUAGUC
rnacentral:rRNA from 1 species